rnacentral:rRNA from 1 species
GACAGAGGGUGCAAACGUUGUUCGGAAUUACUGGGCGUAAAGCGCGUGUAGGCGGCCCUGCAAGUCGGGUGUGAAAUCCCACGGCUCAACCGUGGAAGUGCAUUCGAAACUGCAGGGCUAGAGUCCUGGAGAGGAAGGUGGAAUGCUUGGUGUAGAGGUGAAAUUCGUAGAUAUCAAGCGGAACACCGGUGGCGAAGGCGGCCUUCUGGACAGUGGACUGGACGGC